ACUCCUACGGGAGGCAGCAGGCCGGUGUCGAUGCGGGUGAAUAUCUUGUUCAGGCCGAACGUGCCGAAAUUGUCGCGCACGGUUACCCCGAAGCGGUCAUCCGGUCUGAGCAGGGUCCGGUUCAUGGUUCCGGCGGUGUUGUAGGGAACGAGACUUUUUUCCGCUGACACAGCGCCUUUGUACAGCGUGAUCUCUUCCAGGUUUUCCAGAUCGAAGAGCCACGUGUCGCUGAUGCCCGGAUCCAGCCCGUAAUUGAGAAGGCUCAAUCCUUCCACCACUGAACCUACCCGCGUCUGGCCCCGAACCCGGAUGCUGCGGUUGUUGCUGAGGCCGAACGCAUCCGCGCUCUGGAAAUUCACGGAGGGCAGGAUGUCCGUGGCCUGGAAGGCGUUGAUCUGUCCGGCGCCGCCGAACCUGUCGAGACCUUCCUUGGUGACCGUGUUCUCCGUAUCGGGCUGCCUCCCGUAGGAGU
rnacentral:rRNA from 1 species